rnacentral:rRNA from 1 species
UGGGGAAUUUUGGACAAUGGGGGAAACCCUGAUCCAGCCAUCCCGCGUGUGCGAUGAAGGCCUUCGGGUUGUAAAUCACUUUUGGCAGGAAAGAAACGUCAUGGGUUAAUACCCCGUGAAACUGACGGUACCUGCAGAAUAAGCACCGGCUAACUACGUGCCAGCAGCCGCGGUAAUACGUAGGGUGCAAGCGUUAAUCGGAAUUACUGGGCGUAAAGCGUGCGCAGGCGGUUCGGAAAGAAAGAUGUGAAAUCCCAGAGCUCAACUUUGGAACUGCAAUGUUAACUAACGGGCUAGAGUGUGUCAGAGGGAGGUGGAAUUCCGCGUGUAGCAGUGAAAUGCGUAGAUAUGCGGAGGAACACCGAUGGCGAAGGCAGCCUCCUGGGAUAACACUGACGCUCAUGCACGAAAGCGUGGGGAGCAAACAGG